rnacentral:rRNA from 1 species
AGAGUUUGAUCAUGGCUCAGGACGAACGCUGGCGGCGUGCUUAACACAUGCAAGUCGAGCGGUAAGGCUCCUUCGGGAGUACACGAGCGGCGAACGGGUGAGUAACACGUGAGCAAUCUGCCCUUCACAUCGGGAUAACUCCGGGAAACCGAAGCUAAUACCGAAUACGACCACUUCAGGCAUCUGAUGGUGGUGGAAAGUUCCGGCGGUGAAGGAUGAGCUCGCGGCCUAUCAGCUUGUUGGUGGGGUAACGGCCCACCAAGGCUUCGACGGGUAGCCGGCCUGAGAGGGUGACCGGCCACACUGGGACUGAGACACGGCCCAGACUCCUACGGGAGGCAGCAGUGGGGAAUAUUGGACAAUGGGCGAAAGCCUGAUCCAGCAACGCCGCGUGAGGGAUGACGGCCUUCGGGUUGUAAACCUCUUUCAGCAGGGACGAAGCGCAAGUGACGGUACCUGCAGAAGAAGCACCGGCCAACUACGUGCCAGCCGCCGCGGUAAUAC